CACCGCCCGUCACACCACGAAAGCCUGUUGUACCCGAAGCUGGUGAGCUAACUCGCAAGAGAGGCAGCCAUCUAAGGUAUGGCCGGUAAUUGGGGUG
rnacentral:rRNA from 1 species